UCGAGAAUAAUUCGCAAUGGACGAAAGUCUGACGAUGCGACGCCGCAUGAACGAUGAAGGCCUUCGGGUUGUAACGUUCUGUUGCCCUAGAACAAGAGUGACUGACGAAUAGGUGGUCAUGAUGAGGGUAUAGGGAGAGGAAGCACCGGCUAAUUCCGUGCCAGCAGCUGCGGUAAUACGGAAGGUGCAAGCGUUAGUCGGAAUUACUGGGUGUAAAGGGAGCGUAGACGGAUAGGCAAGUCUGGAGUGAAAACCCAGGGCUCAACCCUGGGACUGCUUUGGAAACUGCAGAUCUGGAGUGCCGGAGAGGUAAGCGGAAUUCCUAGUGUAGCGGUGAAAUGCGUAGAGAUUAGGAAGAACACCAGUGGCGAAGGCGAUUCUCUGGACUGUAACUGACGCUGAGGCUCGAAAGCGUGGGGAGCAAACA
rnacentral:rRNA from 1 species